GGGGUGUCGCAAAUAUGUUGUUGAUCAUAUACAAGAUUGUGAAAAGAUUCAUAUUGCAAUCUUGAGAUGGAUUGCUUAUAUUAAGUCACUAAAUCCAGAAUUUAAGCAUGUUACUGGGAAGGAUAAUUUAGUAGCAGACAUGCUAUUUCGAGUAAGAUACGAGAGGGAGGACGAAAUGAUUGAAGACAUUGAUGACGUCGGAUUG
rnacentral:lncRNA from 1 species